GGAAAACUUGUUUUUCCUCUAAAAACUUCCUCAGAUUACUGUAGGUGAAAACUGGAUAAAGAUCAUCUCUCCUUGGAGAAUAUGGACACGGGAAAGGCAAACAUUUAAUGUUGAUUUUGCAUUUGCAAAUGUAGGUUUUGUGAAUGGGAGCAUUUUUAAUAAGAAAAGUCAAGGCUUAGGUGAGCCUUCCUAGAAUUUUGUUUCAUUAUCCUUGACCUGACUGACAGCAAUACUAGCAGUGGGAAAUGAAACUGUUGGCUUAGAUAUUUUUAAGAAAUAAAGUAGUUUAUUCCUAUUGAUUUAAUAUUCUUUCCUUCCAAAAAUUCAUCCAUCUGGGUGUGAAUGCGUGAAAGCUAAUUAAAUUGGCAGCAGUAUCUCUGUACCUCUCACGUGGAAAAUCUUUGUCUUGAGUUAGAAGAGCUUCACCCUCCAGGGCCUUGAUACAGAAGUCAUUUCCAAAGCAGAGGGAAAGGGAAGGAAAUUCCAGUGACCUUCAUCUCAUCAGAUCACAAAAUUCAAAGCAGCUGCUUUACAGGGGAAAAAUAAAAAAAAAAAAACAAAAACAAAAACGGAUCACCACAUUCUCUUGGAAAGGAAUAAAACCUUUGCCUUGAGGUCAGGAAGCCUACAUCUAUUGCUGGGUACCCAUAAGGUUUCUACCAGCUGUCCUUCUUGUCCCUUGCCCAGACAAAGACGCUACCUUGAGAUACUGAUGGCAACUCCAAGUGUUGCAUUUCCCAGAAGUAGCUCACAUGCAGGGCCAGGGUCAUGGCUUGGCAAAACAAAUGUCUUCGAUGUUGCGGGAUGGGGACAAAAUAGGGAAGAGAACAUAAGCCAGCAGUGGCAGACUUCUUCACUGUCCUGAUUUACAGCCAUGGCUCUGAGUUGGUAUCGAUAAAUCACUUUGGUCCUCUUCAAUCCAGCCCUAUC
rnacentral:lncRNA from 1 species